GAUACCCGUGCUUCAAACAGUUCAAAAUUACCAUUGAGGUGUUCGCCUAAGACUUUGAAAGUCAGAAAGGACGUUACCUCAACAAUCUCCAGUGUCGACUUGACCAUGAAAUGCAUCCAUAUUGCUGCUUGCGCUCACAAUAGUGUGGUCAUAUCUGGCAAUAAGGAAAACCAAAUCUACUGUUAGUGACUGACUACUCUGUAUAACUCUGAUCCCCUAUCCAUGCUCCCCUAUCCAUGCUCACCGUGGCGGCAACACAGUCAAGUUCCCGACCCCCGUGAUUGGACACUAAAAUAGCAUCAGCGCCAGCCCUCAAGGCUUCUCGGGCCCCCUCACCUGGCAACACAGAGACAUGACAAGACAUCCCGGCACGUGACCUCAAUCCCUCCAACACACCUGGCCUGAAAAUGUUCCAUUGCACGAAGCUGAACUGAACAAAAAU